AGUGAACGCUGGCGGUAGGCCUAACACAUGCAAGUCGAACGGCAGCACAGUAAGAGCUUGCUCUUACGGGUGGCGAGUGGCGGACGGGUGAGGAAUACAUCGGAAUCUACUUUUUCGUGGGGGAUAACGUAGGGAAACUUACGCUAAUACCGCAUACGCCCUACGGGGGAAAGCAGGGGAACUUCGGACCUUGCGCGAUUGAAUGAGCCGAUGUCGGAUUAGCUAGUUGGCGGGGUAAAGGCCCACCAAGGCGACGAUCCGUAGCUGGUCUGAGAGGAUGAUCGGCCACAUUGGAGCUGGGACACCGUCCAGACUCCUGCGGGAGGCAGCAGUGGGGAAUAUUGGACAAUGGGCGCAAGCCUGAUCCAGCCAUCCCGCGUGGGUGAAGAAGGCCUUCGGGUUGUAAAGCCCUUUUGUUGGGAAAGAAAAGCAGCAGGUUAAUACCCCGCUGUUCUGACGGUAACCAAAGAAUAAGCACCGGCUAACUUCGUG
rnacentral:rRNA from 1 species